GAGAGUCGGCGAGUGUGAGGGCGGAUCCCGGAGGUGGCCAAGCCAAUGGCUCACCGCGAGAGGCCGGGGGGCGGGGAAGACUGCAGCCGCGUGCCCAACCCGAGGCCCGGGAGGUGGUUGGGGAGUGAAUUUUCUGGAAGGCGACUUUAAAGGCGCCGGGCCAGAGCGAAGGGCGUUUGAGUGCCGCCGCCGCCGCCGCAGCCGCUGUCCGGCCUGGGGAGGGGGUGCUUUAGAAGCAGGAAGCGAGGAACACCGAAGUGGUCGCGGGAGCACCUGGUGACCCCCAGAGGAUGAACCACAAGAGCAAGAAGCGGAUCCGCGAGGCCAAGCGGAGUGCGCGGCCAGAGCUCAAAGACUCGCUGGACUGGACCCGUCACAACUACUACGAGAGCUUCUCGCUGAACCCGGCGGCCGUGGCGGAUAACGUGGAAAGGGCAGACGCAUUACAGCUGUCGGUGGAAGAAUUUGUGGAGCGAUAUGAAAGACCGUACAAGCCCGUGGUUCUGCUGAAUGCCCAAGAGGGUUGGUCUGCGCAGGAGAAAUGGACCCUGGAGCGCCUAAAAAGGAAGUACCGGAACCAGAAGUUCAAGUGUGGUGAGGAUAAUGACGGCUACUCCGUAAAGAUGAAGAUGAAAUACUAUAUCGAGUACAUGGAGAGCACUCGGGACGACAGCCCCCUUUACAUCUUUGACAGCAGCUAUGGUGAACACCCCAAAAGAAGGAAACUUCUGGAAGACUACAAGGUGCCCAAGUUUUUCACUGAUGAUCUCUUCCAGUAUGCCGGGGAGAAACGCAGGCCCCCUUACAGGUGGUUUGUGAUGGGGCCACCGCGCUCUGGAACUGGAAUUCACAUCGACCCUCUGGGAACCAGUGCCUGGAAUGCCUUAGUUCAGGGCCACAAGCGCUGGUGCCUGUUUCCUACCAGCACACCCAGGGAACUCAUCAAGGUGACCCGUGAAGAAGGAGGGAACCAGCAAGAUGAAGCUAUUACCUGGUUUAGUGUCAUUCAUCCCCGGACCCAGCUUCCCACCUGGCCACCUGAAUUCAAACCCCUGGAAAUCUUACAAAAACCAGGAGAGACUGUCUUUGUACCAGGAGGCUGGUGGCAUGUUGUCCUUAAUCUUGACACCACCAUUGCCAUCACCCAGAAUUUUGCCAGCAGCACCAACUUCCCUGUUGUAUGGCACAAGACGGUAAGAGGGAGACCAAAGUUAUCGAGGAAAUGGUAUAGGAUCUUGAAGCAAGAACACCCCGAGUUGGCAGUCCUGGCUGACUCCGUUGACCUUCAGGAGUCCACAGGGAUCGCCUCAGACAGCUCCAGCGACUCGUCCAGCUCCUCCAGCUCCAGCUCGUCCGACUCGGACUCGGAGUGUGAGUCUGGGUCUGAAGGUGAUGGGACGAUGCACCGCAGGAAGAAGCGGAGAACAUGCAGCAUGAUGGGAAACGGGGACACCACCACCCAGGACGACUGUGUGAGCAAAGAGCGCAGCUCCUCCAGAGCCUGAGGGGCGGCCUCCUGCUUUUCCCCCCACUUGCACUGUCGCUUUGGGCACUCACACCAAGUGAGGCAGCCGUGAAGAGCUCGGGUUUUCUGUAAGGCCUUCAUCACGCCUCCCACGUCUGUGUUUACCGGAUUGGGUCGAAAUAAGGAUUAGGGACACUUGUGGAGGCCGGGCUCACCCCUGAGCCGAUAAAGAGACUCUCCCUGAGGUGGCUCCCGUGUACGCUGUUGGCGGCCACCUGACUCAGUUUUCACGUCUUCUGCUCCCACCUUCUCCUUUGUCUUCUUUGAAUUUGGAUACUCCUUCUCUGGUCCAAGCUUCUGUCUUCGGUCAAAUGCUGGUUUUGCUGCUUACUAAGAAUAGAUGGUCAAGAAGGUUCAGAGCUCAGCAAGCUCGGUGAAGCGUGCAACGCGGAAAGCUGGCGAGCUGUUGGGUGAGGAGGUCUGUGCUGUCUCGUCUAAGCCACGCUGCUCGACCUCGAGGCCGCAGGGCUGGGAUCCCUUGAGUGUCUCGCCGCGUCUGAUACUCCUCGAUGUUGGUGAGGAACCCUUGCCGUCGGAGAGCCGGCUGCGCGUGAGCAGGCCCGCGGGGUGAGUGGACUCGGAUUUGUGUGUGAGCUGGCUACACGUAAAAAGUGCCGCGCACGCACCACCUCCCUGUGUGUCACCGUUUGUCCGGCGCCGCACUCCGUGGCCGGGACCCAGCCCACGCGGGCAGCACCGCUCACCAGCGCGAGUGCGGGCUUAGGCCGCGUUACCUUCUCGCCACCGCCAGAGAGGCUCUUCAGCUCCGGCAGCAUUUUUGUGUGGUGUGUUUUGGGGGAGGGAUGACAUGUCAGGGUUUUUGUCUGGGAACAGUGAGAAAGGUGUUCCAUGUGUUCGUAUUGCAGAAUUCAAGUUGUGAGUAGGGCCAGCUUCUAACAGAUGUGUCCUGUUCUUUCCUGCCACGUGAUCCAUAAGGCAGACGCUCUCACUGUAAGAGACUUCACGAUUAGGGUCCCUGUUUGUUUGACCAGCAGACAUUCGGUGGGUGGCUUGUGCUACGUGUCUGGAAUAAAUCCAUAUAUGGUGCUUCUAGUCUUUGGGAUCUGUUUAGGCUUCUAAAUAACUCUGGUAUGAAUCCUUGGGGAUUGACAGCAGGUUCCAUCUCUUGCCCUCUCAGUUCACCUGCUUGCCUUAAUCUGUCCCUAAAUUCAGCUAAAUUUAAAUAAAAGUAAGAGUGGGCUUGUCAAGGAUGUGCCCAGUGAAAAGCACUGAGCAGCAUGCCCUGUUCUGGGCCGGGGUAUAGGGAAGGGCGUGAGCUGCCAGAGGGCAGCAGGAGCUCUCGCUGCAGCAUCCCAGGGGGCAGAGGCGUGCAUGCAGACGGCCUGGAAUUGUAUGGUGUUGCCUCCCCAGAUCCUCCCUAAACAUGGGUGUGAUCCGGGGAAUCCAGGGCUCUUCUGUGCAAAGGCUGUAUUUUUAACAGACUGAUGAUCAUUUCUUGAUACUGGCUCCGUCAUGUGGCUUUCCUCUAGGAGGCUGGUCCCCUGCUUUGUCUUAAUUUUCUGCAUUCUCUAAUGCCAGUCCCAAUACGUGGCCACAUUGGAUGGAGAACGUCCACCAUGUUCCUCGGUGUUGGCGCCUGUCACCUGUCCCUUGGUGCUGCUCCCCUUUCCCAUCAGGCCACCCGGGCUCAGGCAUCCCUGCUUCCAUUCCAGGGUGUGUUUGGGUGUGAGUAAAGUCAAACCCUGAACUACGUGUUGUCUGUGUUCACACCUGAAUGGGGUUCCUCUGUCUCCUUUUUAAAAUGUUCUUGCCGUAUUCUAGAAUGCUUUUUUCUUUACCCCACUAUUGCUACCGGGCUAUCACGCCUUCCUCUCUAAUUCAUAUCAACUUCUCUCUAAACGUCAGUGUAAAGAAAAAAAACCAAAAGGCUGUUUGCCGCCAGGGGGCAGGAUAGGAUACUUUUGUGUGAUGACGGUAGAAGUUUGAAUGGGAGAGAUUAGCCUUCCCGAGAGGCCAAAGGUGAUUCUUGUUUGACAAACAAUAUCCAGAAAUCAGGGAUCCAGCCCACCUGAGAGCCCGCAGUCACCUCACCGGAAAGCAUCUGGAUCACACAGCUUUGCAUGGUGCCGUUUGGCUCUUACCACCCCAUGAGUGACCAUGGGACAGUCUUUGUUUUAGCCAGGCCAGGGAUUCAACACCCCCCACUCCACCCGUUACUGUCACUAUGGGCCAGCCAAGCACACCAUUACGGAAAUAAAGCAGGGAUGAGGUGGGGAAACCAUGAGAGAGGAGUGCUGUGAUGGCUGGGUGCUAGGGACAAGAUAGGAAGUGGGAACCAGGGUCCAUCUGUUCUAAAGUUAACCCUUCACCCCACCUGGUUUGAGCUCUUUUAAGUGGUGUCAGCAAUAGUAAGGGCAAGGACACGACAUGAAACUUUUUUAGGGAUUCUUCUCCAACUGGAAACCAGCAAGCUGGGUCCCGGAAGAAGGGUUCUUGGACCAGUAACUACUGAUAGGGAGGAGCAGAUUGGAGGAAGACAGCGUGGGGCCCUGGGGCUUUGGGGGUGAGCGCCGAAGACUUUACCGUCAGCCAGAAGUAUCCAGUGCCACACACAGGUGUCCUUGGGGUCAUUAGUAUUGCUGGGAUGUUCAGGGUGACACCUUUGAGGGGAGAGCCACCAAACAGGGAUGUUGUUCACAUUUGGCUCUGGCUUCCAGAUGCCCGUUUAUGAAUCAUCCAAGCGAUCAGCCUGUGUUUGAGUGCCGGGCACUGCUCUAGGUGCUGGACACGCAGCAGGGAUGAGCCCAGGUCCCUCCCCUCAUGGUGCUGAAAGACAGAGUGCCACGCACGGCUCCCAAGGGUCACUGGUCAGGGUAGGUAGAGUCAAGCACAUCCAUUUUCAUAACCAGAAAAGCAAGGUCAGGCCUUACUAAAUUAAGGUUUAUGAGAUCUUCAUAAAAGAACAUAAUUAACAUCACAGUUUUGUUGUUAGUAUCUGGUUUCUCUCUAAAUUAGCUAAAGAUAUUUAAGGAUUGGCAAGGAAGUUGCUGGUAUAAGUGCUUUAUGAACUUACUAGAGGUUCGGCCUGGAUGUGAUUUAGGACCUUAGACAACAGUGGGGGACAGAAUAGGAGUUUUGCCGUAAAUAUUGUAAAAAAGUGCUUUCUAGGGUGUAGGCGCGUACGUGCACAGCUGUAGGUUCCUUGAAUUGUGUGUAGUGUUUCCACAAAUAAGUUGUUUGUCAUUGUGUGCUGCGUACUGCCGAUGGUUCCCUGUGGAGUCUGGUUUCUGCUCACACUCCCCCCUCCUCCCUGCCUCUGUCAAGAUGUUCCACUGACGUUACAUUACAUACAGCAAAACUAGGUGAACCUCGUGUCCUGGCCCCCUCGGGUGGUGGCUCGUGACUUUCGUCUCAUCAUUAGUUCAAAAACGUGAGACGUCUAGCCCCCACCGAAUGUCCCAUGAGAACUGGCCCGGCCUCCUGUGUCCAAGGUGACUGGACAGUGCAGAAGAACGGGGACCGUGCAGAGUCCUUGUGCCUCCUGCAGCUGCCACAGAGACACCCAGCAGCCUGCUACGUCUGCUUUCGUCUCGCCGUGGGCUCCACCACAGGAUGCCUGUGGCUCCGCCGUUCGAUGGGUAUUUUUAACUUUCACUUGGAUGAAACUUGUUCAUCAUUUUAAAUAAAGCAACUUGAUUUGGA